rnacentral:lncRNA from 1 species
UCGCUUUCCCCAAUCCACCACCUCUCGCUGGAUUAGGCUGCUACCAAGUUUAGUAUUAACAUACCAAAUUUUCGGUAAAACAAUUUAAGAAUUGGAUUAGUAUGUUUGUUUGGCUAAAUCCAACUACUAUAAUGGGCAGAAUUACUAAAGUUAAAAUGGUUCCAAGUGCAAAACUCACCCGUGCUUCGUUCCUUGAAAUGAAUAGAAGUACUUGGAAAAAUGAAAUGU